rnacentral:rRNA from 1 species
CCUACGGGAGGCAGCAGUGGGGAAUCUUGCGCAAUGCGCGAAAGCGUGACGCAGCAACGCCGCGUGGGGGAAGACGGCCUUCGGGUUGUAAACCCCUUUCAGUUGGGACGAAGCUUUAACCGUUAAUAGCGGUUUGGAGUGACGGUACCUUCAGAAGAAGCCCCGGCUAACUACGUGCCAGCAGCCGCGGUAAUACGUAGGGGGCAAGCGUUGUCCGGAAUUAUUGGGCGUAAAGCGCGUGUAGGCGGUCCGGUAAGUCUGCUGUAAAAGUCAGGGGCUCAACCCUUGAAAGCCGGUGGAUACUGUCGGGCUAGAGUACGGAAGAGGCGAGUGGAAUUCCUGGUGUAGCGGUGAAAUGCGCAGAUAUCAGGAGGAACACCAAUUGCGAAAGCAGCUCGCUGGUACGUAACUGACGCUGAGACGCGAAAGCGUGGGGAGCA